rnacentral:misc_RNA from 1 species
CCGUUUUUUUGGUGUAUUUUUAGCAAUAUCGCGUAUAAAUACUUCAUCGCGGAGAUACGUUAUUUUAAUGUACCGAUGAGUACCGAUCGCAUCGAGAAUGAGCAAGGGCUGCUGGAAAUUCGACGAGGAGGACAAAGCCUUGUAUAUAGACCUGGAGGAGGAGGACACGGAGGAGGAUAAGCAAUGCAAGGUGUACAGCUCCUGGGAUCAGACUCCCGAUAUACUAUUGGAGGAGAUAUUUUCGUACUUGACUAUUCGCGAGCGUUACUAUGCGUCCCUGGUGUGCCGCUCGUGGUAUCGUGCCUUCAAGCUGCAGAAUGUAUGGUCCACGUUUACCCUGGAAGACACUACCCUCACAAGGGGGAAGUUCAAUUAUUACAGCGGCUGGCAGUACGUUCUGGAUCACAUGAGGACUUCCACCUGCCUGAACAAGGUCGGCAGGAACUUUCGCUCGCUCAUAUUUGAGCCAAUGCUGAAUUUUUAUAAUCUCUACGAGUUCAUGAACAUGAUAUCGUGGUACGCCGAGCAACAAGGAUUAGACAAUACAUCCGUGGCCGGCGUGGGUACCUACAUUCGUAGGCUGAAAUUCACCUUCCCCUGCAAUAUGGCAAACAGAAACGAUCCUGAUCGGAUCAGAUUGUUUGGCACGGGUGGGAAGUUACUCGAAGCGCUGAAGAGACUCAUGAGAAACCUGCAGAAUCUUAGGUACCUGGAACUGAUAGAUCUAAUGCUCGAUAGCAAGGAGGCGGUGUAUUUGAUGGACGACAUUUGUACGAAUUGUACUCAGACCUUGUCAAAAUUGGUGCUGAUAAAUACCACCCGUUACAAUUGCCCCUUGUUACACGUAGGAGUAUUCGUUAAUUUAAAUAUCUUAGUAAUUAGUCCGCAAAAUUUACACGAGGAUAUAAUAGAACUGAUAGGCUACACGAAAUUAAGGCACCUUCACAUCUUACAAAAUCGGUACAGUCCAAAGGACACAACCAUCAGAUUGCCAAAGAGAUCGUCUUGGGUAAAAAUGAAGAUGAAUAAUCCAUACUUGAAAGUGCACUUUGAGAUAGAGAGUCACAAGUCUACAGAUAUUCUCUUGCCUAUCGACUUGUUGGAACAUAGCGCCAUUCCCUGUCAUAGUAUAGUACUAGAUAAUCCAAAUACGCAGAUUUCACCACCCACGAUACUCACUCACGGGACGUUUUUCGACUCGACGAUACGAGUGUACGCUUUCAAGGGAUUAACGAGGUACUACCUGCAUAGGAACUUUGCAAAGAGAUUGGACGAGUCAUUAGUACAAUUCUGCCGAAUGUGCCCGAAUCUACAUACACUGGUAGUCUUUUGUAUUUGAAUCGACAUGUGAUAGCUUUCCUAAAACUACUAGAUUGGUUUUAACAACGCAACUUUAUGAUGUGCUGGCAUGCGCUCGUAUCUUUACACAUUGCAAAAGACUUUCUUGCUAUUGUAUGAUCCGAGAUAAGAUAUCAACGGCUACUAUUUUAGAGAUUGUAUCUACCGCGAAGCGUUUGUGUUGCUUGUACGUUCGGCGAAACGUAAUUUUAAAGAGAUGUGACAGAGUUUGGUCGACAAUCCUCGAU